rnacentral:lncRNA from 1 species
CUCUUGUCUAAGGGUGGCAAUGCUUGCUACAGGUCCAGGUGGCACAUGCAUAGGCCACACUGACUUGGGAUGGUUAGCAGUGUUCUGGGCCAGCUGCCAAGUCUGCCCUGGGGUUGUUCCCGAUUGGGCAAUUUAGGUCACAGGCCCAUCUCUGGAGCAAAGAGAUUGUGGCCUGGAUGGGGAGGAGGAAUCGGGGUUGGCCCCAGGCUCAGGAGUUGAGAGGAAGAGUGGAGAGUGGAAUGAACCCGGGCUGUCCCUAAAAAGAAAGGGAGGGACGGAUGUGGACAGGGGCCUCCAGCAAGCACAGUGGAGGGGACAGGAGAGAUUGACAAGCAAAGCCCUCGGGCGGCUCCGGCUGCUUGAGGAUGAGGAUGCAGAGUUCUCCCUGCUCGGCUUCAGGUGGACUUGCUGCCCUGGGAGGGGGCCUGGUGCUUCCAGAAGCAGCUUCGCACGUAAAGGGCACCCAGGUGCAGGACCUGCCUGUGUCCUCCGAGGCGCUGUCGGCCUGCGGGCUUGUGGCGGGGCCUCCGGGUGAAGCUCGAGGAGUGGAGCUGGGCCGGAUCGAUCGCUUCGUUUGGAUGGAAAAGAACCUAAAAUUUCUCAAUAAGGUUUCUAUUGAUUAGACGGUGGAAUGACCAUAUUUGGGGCAUGCUCAUGGGUUAAAUUCACUUGUUUGUUUUUCCUUUUUUGGGGGGCCGCAUUCGAGAGACUUGGAAGGUCCCUGGGCCAGGGAUUGAAUCAGAGCCGCAUGGGCGACCUACGCCACAGCUGAGGUAACACGGGACCCUUAACCCACUGCAGCACAGCGGGAACUCCCUGCUGCACGUCUCUGAGCCACACUGUCUUCCUUGAGGAGGCGCUGCUGAGGGUGACGGAGACCCCCCUACUGGAGGUGCCACUGAGGUGUGGCAGGGAGGGGGCAUCCAUCCAUCUGUCCCCAGGCCUCGGACCCUGGUGCCUGAGAGACACGGAUGCUGCAAGACUCCAUCUCCAGCACCACCACUGCUGCGCUCAGACCCUGGGGCUCUGUCAGGAGUCUGCCCUGCACGGCUUUUAUCAAAACAUCCAAAACUAGGCCAGAGACAAGGCCAGGGAACCUGCAGCCCUCGGGCCACUCCAGGCCGCCUACCAGGUUCUGGCAGAGCUGCCGGGCGGGAAGUGGACCCCGCGGGCACUUUCGAGCCUCUGCACCCCAGCGUCCCUUCUGCUGCCGAAAGAGUUCUCCACAGAGCGCUGCUGGAGUCCGGGAGCCUGGAGUCCGUGAACCUGGACGAGAAAACAGUCACAUCCAUAUCGGCACCGACUAAAUUCAGCAUCGCCCUGCCUUGUGAAUGUGAGCAGCAAAACCCAGUGAGGUCUGUGGUUUUGCCACCGACGUUAUCAACCACAAACCCUACUGGGUUUCCGAACAUCCUACCUUUAUUGCAGAAAUUUCAGGAUGGCAUUUGGACUCAAAUCACGGUAGUUCUUAAAUCCACCACUAGGUAUUCUUUUAAAUGUGCUAAGAAGAAGUUGGAGUUCCCUGGUGGCCUAGCUGGUUAGGGAUCCUGCAUUAUCACUGCUGUAGCUGGGUUAGAUUCCUGGCCUGGGAGUGUCUGCAGGCUGCUGGCCAAAAAAAAAAAAGAAGAAGAAGGAGAAAAGGAAGAGGAAGAGGAAGAAAAGAAGAAGAGGCAUGUAUAUUAAACAAUAGUUUGACAAAUUUCAGUGCAUUUGGCUUCCUUUAUAAUCCUACGUAUUUUGCUAUUUUGCAUUGUGCAUUUAAAAACAUGAUCCUGAGAAGGGGUGUCAAAAGCCUAGUUAAUUUUUUUUUUUUUUUUUUUGGCUGUGCCCAAGGCAGGGGGAAGUUCCCCGGCCAGGGACUGAAUCUGAGCCACGACAGUGACCCAAGCCACCGCAGUGAAAAUGCUGGAUCCUUAACCUGCUGCACCACAAGAACACUCAAAAGCCUAGUUGAGGUAAUGCCGGGGAGCUGAUAUUCUGGAGCGCUGGCAGUCAUUUUGUGACUCUGAGGGUAAAGCUGACUCAGUGAGAAGGGCAGACUGAGGAGUGGGGGAAGUUCCAGGGUCCUUUCCCAGCUAUGACCAGAAUUAACCAACCGGGGAAAGUCCCCUCUUCUGGGCUUAUUUCUUGCUGUAACACAUGGCCUCGUUGUUUAGCCAGUUGAGUCAGGG